GUAAUCACACUUUUUUUUUUUUUUUGGUGCCGGAGACCAAAUCCAGAGCCUUACAGACACUAGGCAAGUGUUCUACUACUCUGCCAUAUGCCCAGGCCAGCAAUUAAAUACACCACCAUCCACCUGAAACCAGUUCCAUUUCCUGAUGUCUAUACUGGUGUCCACGACCAACCCCAGCUGUCUACCAGCCACACCCUCAGCUUAGGAACUGUUUGAGGCCUUAUUCUUAUUCCAUUGCACAUAAUGCAGCAUUUUCUCAGUUCCCACCUCAGCCCAGCCUUCAUUAGUCUCCUUGUUAACAAAUUUGUACCCAGUGCCUCCUACGUGCCAGGCGCUCUGCCAGAUGCUGGAAUGCGCUAACAAGACAGACUCGGGUGUGGCCUCAGUCCAGAGGGAAGCCAGCUAGUUACACAAGCAGCCACAAGGCAGGGGAAGGAACCCUGAGGAUGCAGAAAGUCCAGGGCGUCGUGGAAGCCCCUGGGCUCAGGAAGCUGGGAGUCUCUGAGGAAGCCAGGAUCAAGGUGACGACUAGGAGACUGAAAGUUAAGCCUUCACCAGCGGUUCCAGUGGGGCAGGAAGCUCCUUUUGAUCCUCUAUUCCUGGGCUGUGGGCACUACAUGUGCUAAGUAACAGUGGAGCUGCCCCAAUCUGCAGCCUUAUUCCUUGACUGAGGAAAGGAUGUGACCUCACAGUACCUCCCGAUGCUCAAGGAGGGCACACAGUUAAGAGUGUGCCUUAAGAAGUCCACUUCCUUAAGUAAGGACAAGUGUCAAUUUUUGAACAUUGACCUCUGCCUGGAGCUAAGUGCUCUGGAGAACUGAUCUCAAACUCUCACAUUCAAGAAAUCCAUGUUGACUAUGAAGAAGUAAUAAGAGGACGACUUGAUCCCUCAUCCAAUGAGCUCAUUAUUGUCUGGUGGAGGCUGGAGGAGCCUGUGAGGGCAGGACACUGUGAGGGUGAGCCUGAGACGCAGCAGCAAAGGCAUUGUCACGACGAGGGAACUGGACAGUCCUUGGUCACUGUGUGUGGUAACCUGGGCCUUUAUGAAAACAGAAUUAGCUCCUGUGGGGAGAAGAGGGGAGAGGCGCAGAGGCGCAGCUUGGGCUGAGCUCUGCAGUGAGGAGCGCAGCGCACAGCAGAGACAGGCCUCAGUGUACCUUGUGCUGAGAGCAGGGGUCUGAGAGGGUAGGUGGUGAGAGUAGAAGAGGAAGGAAGUGGCCUGAGCUCAUCCUCCUUUAGAAAUCCACUCCCAUGACAACUAUCCACUCCUGCAAUAAUGGCAUUAAUCCAUUCAGGAGAGUGGCCUAGUCACCUCUUAAAGGUCCUGCCUCUCAAAGCUAUGACAUUUUUGGAUUAAAUCUCUAACAAAUGAACCUUCGGGGACACAUUCGCGUGACAGUUCUGCCUGGAAGAGAGGAAUUUGUUGGAAGCAGCAAUGUGUAGGCUGAGAAGUCAACAUGGAGUGGUUCAUACCAGAUUAUCACUAGUAACCUGGUCACUUGUCCUGAGAUUCUUUCCCUAUUCUUCUUCAUCAGUGAGUUUAUCACAUUGAACUUUCACAAGCCCAGGGUCAAGUCCCAGGCUUGGCCUCUCUUGCUCUCGCAGCUUCUGUGUAGAUGAAGAGUCUGAGGCUCAGAGAGGGUGAAAAAUUGUUCAAGGCAAGAUGCUGCUUGAUGGUGACGCAGUCACCUCACCCAGUGCUGUCUCACAACACCAAAGCUCCGCUGCUCCUGCUCUAUGAGAUCACAGGCAGGAGGAGGCAGAGGUGAUGCCUUCUCGGGCUUGUGAAGGGCUAAAAGCACCCUAGGGACCUGGAGAAGGAGAGGCCAGCAAUGCUGGCAGAGCCUCCAGGAAGAAAGGAGAGCAGAGCAUGCCUUGGAAGAUGGGCAGAGAAACAAUGAAACUGAAGAGGCAGAGAAACAAUGAUGGGGACAGGAGAGGGAACUACACAGGCUCCUGUUGGGAUGAUUCUGGGGUCAAGGGGCAGCCUGGCUGCUCUGGAAGUUCGUGCUGGAAAUUACUGGAUAGUAAAGGUGGAAAUGGUGUGGCUAGGGCCCAAAGGCCAAACUGAUCAUCUGAAUUUUAUAGUCUGGUACGUGGGGGAUUCUGAACACAGAAUAAUGAGGAAAAUCGGCAUUUCAGAAGGGUGCUUGGUCAACUUCAAAUAGUUAUAAUUAAUUUAGUAAGAGCCAGUCAAUAUUAAAGCAGGUGUUCACACAGUAUAAGACACAUAAUUAUUAAGUGAUAAAUCGACAGUAGAUGCUUUGUGAUUUAACUCUAAGAAUGCACAGGACCCUGGUUUUGGAAAACCAGUUCUAAAACUAUCUGAACUUUUUCUUUUAUCCAGCUUCAUUGAAUCAAUCAGGUGUUCCCUAAAAGCCUCCUGUCCUUUCCCAUCUCUGUGGAUUCUGUCCUUGCCUGGACUCCCAGCCAGUCCUCCUGGCCUCUUCUGAGGCCCCCUUCCAGGCCCACUUGAAAGAGCUCUGACGGCCUCCUCCUCAACCAGGAAUGAUCUGUAAUGGCGCUUCCACCAUGAUCCUCACAUAGUCAAACAACAAGGGUACACUGUCACAACAUGCCUCCUCGAUCUUUGUGUCCCCAGGGCCAAGGACAAACUGCCACUGAACCAUAACACUAAAACUUUGCCUAUGGAUAAGGAUUUUUCAUAUGGCUACUUUAAUCUCAAUUUCUAUUAAUGUCCUUGAAACAGGAUCAACUAUUCAAAUGAAAUUUCUGCGAAGUGAAUCCACCUCUUUAUUCCAUGUUGAGGAGAAUCAAUCUCCAAACAGACAUUAAGCUCAACUUUUCCAAUUCAGUAGAAAGAGAUUCAAGAUUGCUAUAUCAAGUCUUACAAUACCUCUAAGCUUCCAGCUUGCCCUAUGGAUUUUGUAUUUGCCAGCCUCCACAAUAACAUGAGCCAAUUCCUUAAAAUAAAUCCAACAGGCUAUGUAUGUUUCUGUUUCUCUGGAGAAUCCUGAAUAAUACAGAAGCCUAAGAGUAAUCAUCCCUACUUUUCCUGGACCCAUCCUUUCCAUUUUCAUCUUACAACUGGACUUCCAAAUAGCCUCUCUUCCCUAUCCUUAGGAUUAUAGCAUUAGGAUUUCCAUCUUCAGCAAACCUCAGAGACCAACAGUGAGAACUCUUACAUAGAACACAGAGAUAUCCAUUUAUAUCUUGAAUAAACUCUAUCCAACAGCAAAAAAAAAAAAAAAAAAA